rnacentral:rRNA from 1 species
GAUCAGCCACACUGGAACUGACNCACGGUCCAGACUCCUACGGGAGGCAGCAGUGAGGAAUUUUGCGCAAUGGGGGAAACCCUGACGCAGCAACGCCGCGUGAGUGAUGAAGGCUUUCGGGUCGUAAAGCUCUGUCAAGUGGGAAGAACCUGCAUUGGGUUAACAUCUCAGUGCACUGACGGUACCACUGAAGGAAGCACCGGCUAACUCCGUGCCAGCAGCCGCGGUAAUACGGAGGGUGCAAGCGUUAUUCGGAAUUAUUGGGCGUAAAGGGCGCGUAGGCGGCCGUUUAAGUCAGGUGUGAAAGCCCGGGGCUUAACCCCGGAAGUGCAUUUGAUACUGAGCGGCUUGAGUAUGGGAGAGGGAAGUGGAAUUCCUGGUGUAGAGGUGAAAUUCGUAGAUAUCAGGAGGAACACCGGUGGCGAAGGCGACUUCCUGGACCAAUACUGACGCUGAGGCGCGAAGGCGUGGGGAUCAAACAGGAUUAGAUACCCUGGUAG